UUUGCUACUGUAUAGUGUUGCUGCUAACAUAUUACUACACUUGAUGAGAGUUUGUAACCAAAUUUUAUGUAAUUCAACCAAGGUGCACGUGAUUAGAAAAAAUUUUUAACUUCUUUUUUUAUUCAUCCAAUGCAAUUAGCCUGGUGCUUGCUUUGCAUUAAUUACGUUGCAGGUUCAAACCAAAGACUUUGAGCUCCUGGUUCUGGGAGUAGUUUUUAGGAGACCCCUGUUCAAUCCAAGGUGAGGAUAUCUUGGUUGGGGCUGCACAGGUUUUUCAGAUGGGAUGUAAAAUGAUGCCUCAAACAUGUUAUUCAAAGGGCUUAAUUAUAAGCAAACCCUCCAUGUAACUAUAUACCAUGUAACUGAAACGGCAAAGAAACUUAUUGAAGCAAAGAAACUUGUUAGUAUUCUGUGUGCCACUGGCAUUGGAGUUCAAUUGUUCAACAGUGUAAGCUGAAAAGGGCAGAGCGGAUCCGGACUGAACAUAAUAAGGUACAUUAGUGACAUUGCAGAGAUAUACAUGUAUAUGCCAAUCAUUUUGUUUUGAGGCUCAUGUUUCAGAGUAUCAGGAAAUAUUGAAUCUUGUUGUGAAACUUGCGAUCCUCUAUUCAAGUUGUUUACAAAUUGUUAGGAGGAGUUAGUUGUACAUUUCUGCCAUGAUCUCUUCAUCCCUUACAUUCCAGUUCCAUAAUUUCUUUGUUUGUUUUGCAUUACUGGUAAACCUUUAAACAAAACACAGUCCAGUUUUGGACAGUAAGCUCAAGCUGCAUAAAACGUGACAGUAAGAUUUGACUAAAACGUCUCAAAGGUUGGAUUUUAAAAUAACGUGCUCACAAAUCAGGUGAUCGAUCGAAACACAAAUAGGACACCAACAUCAUGGUUGACGUCCAAACACAGCCUGACGUCACGUGAAAAUACCAGAUACACCAGGGCAGUCAAAGUUUUUAUCAACUACGAUGGACCAACAUCUGUUUUUACACAGUGAACAAUUUUAAGGGCAGUUUGCUAGACAGGCAUUUGUUUAGAUAGUAUGGCAGAUAUGCAAUGAAGUGUAAAAGAAAA